UACGUAGGGUGCAAGCGUUAAUCGGAAUUACUGGGCGUAAAGCGUGCGCAGGCGGCUUUGCAAGACAGAUGUGAAAUCCCCGGGCUUAACCUGGGAACUGCAUUUGUGACUGCAGGGCUGGAGUGCGGCAGAGGGGGAUGGAAUUCCGCGUGUAGCAGUGAAAUGCGUAGAUAUGCGGAGGAACACCGAUGGCGAAGGCAAUCCCCUGGGCCUGCACUGACGCUCAUGCACGAAAGCUAGGGGAGCAAACGGG
rnacentral:rRNA from 1 species